rnacentral:rRNA from 1 species
AUGGGCGCAGCCUGAUGCAGCGACGCCGCGUGCGGGAUGACGGCCUUCCGGUUGUAAACCGCUUUUGACUGGGAGCAAGCCCUUCGGGGUGAGUGUACCUUUCGAAUAAGCACCGGCUAACUACGUGCCAGCAGCCGCGGUAAUACGUAGGGUGCAAGCGUUAUCCGGAAUUAUUGGGCGUAAAGGGCUCGUAGGCGGUUCGUCGCGUCCGGUGUGAAAGUCCAUCGCUUAACGGUGGAUCCGCGCCGGGUACGGGCGGGCUUGAGUGCGGUAGGGGAGACUGGAAUUCCCGGUGUAACGGUGGAAUGUGUAGAUAUCGGGAAGAACACCAAUGGCGAAGGCAGGUCUCUGGGCCGUCACUGACGCUGAGGAGCGAAAGCGUGGGGAGCGAACAGGAUUAGAUACCCUGGUAGUCCAAGGGCGAAUUC